rnacentral:lncRNA from 1 species
GACUAAAGUUUGGCAGGGCAUCCUGUUCCAGAAGGAAGCAGAGCAGAGUACAGCCUGCUGUGGACAGUUCCUUUUUGUCUCAGGAUGCUUCAUUCGCAGCACAUUCUACAAUUAUUCUGAGAUCUACAAGCAAGAAAGACGAGGGAGAACUGGGUUAGCUAAGAGUAAUAUGCAUAAACUGUUGUAGAAGAAGACUAUAGAGGAUAUAUGAAGGCACAAGAAACUAAUUUACAGAUUAUUAAUCAACAUAAUCUCACUCUUUUCAACACACAUUUAAACACAUGCUCUGUAACAGAUUCUGGGACUGGUUUUGAGAAACAAAGGAGUCAAAUAAAUGCUCUCAAGGAAUUUACCUUCUAGUUGGGAAAUAUAUUUCUGGCAACAGAGGAGAAGAAUGAUAGGAAGAGAAUUGUACUGGAAUAGUAUAAUCCAUUGGAAUGUUGUUGUAAUGAUGGCAACAGUGGAGAAGAAUGAUAGGAAGAGAAUCAUACUGGAAUAGUAUAAUCCAUUGGAAGGUUGUUGUAAUGAAGGCAAGAAGAAAAAUGACCUUGAAGGCAAGAAGAAAAAUCAUAAUGAAGGAAAGGAGAGAUGAGUUUACCAAAUACAAUCUCAGAAUUGUUCUGUAAAUUUCAUUUCUGCUUUAGCAGCCAUAAGGAGCUCCAUUUAUUACAGUAGGAACAGAGGCAACAGUUACAUGGGUAGAUGGCAGGGAUAGAAAAGAUUUUAGUUUUGAUACAUUGAAUUUGACAUGCUUUUUGAAAAUCUUCAGAUGGUGAUGUACAAACUACUGCAGGAACAUACGAGGAAAGAUGAGAGAAUCCACAGACCCUUUGAAGGAAGCAGAUUGCUCCUGCAGGGCCUAGGAGACAGCCCAAACACUGGGUCCUUAGGGAGAGGUGCCAGAGGAGCUGGAAAAAGGCCACAGGGAGAAGGAAGGCUCCAGCUGAACUUGAUUGACCCAUCAUUUGGAUGUCCCAAAACCACAGAUGCAAUAGAAGAAUGGAACAAAUUUAUACAUUUUGUCAAUGAAAACUUUAUCUUCA